rnacentral:lncRNA from 1 species
ACCGAAGCGUUGGCGUGGGGCCCGCCGGGCGGCGCUGGCAGCCUCGUCUCCUGAGGGGACGUUUCUGUUUGGGCCGCCCCUGUGCGAGCUGCCUAGCCUAAGGACACCGAGUUUUCCUUAGAAGCAACCGUGGGACACACCCCUCUGUAGAGAAAGAAGACCAACAAGAUACUCAUUCUGCACUUGGGAGAUGUAGGAUGUGCUAAUGUUUUGUAAAGAUGAAUAAAGGAAGAGCUACAGUAGCAGGCAUGGUGUUCCGUGCUUGUAAUCCCAGCAACCUGGAGCUUGAGGAGGAAAGCUUGAGGGUCCAAAGCAUCUUGGGCUACAUAGUGAGACUCUGUCUCAAAUGGAAUCUGAAAACUGAACUAAUUAAGUAUUGAGCCAAAAGCACAGCUAAGAAAGCAAUUCCCAAGCUCCAUGUUUUAUAUGUGCGACCUAAGUGGAUUUUCUCCAUACUUCAAGGAAAAAGUAAGGCGAUCACAGGAGUGCUAAAGUGGAGGUCCUUUGUAUUUGAAUUAUUUCAUUGAAAUAAGAUCAUGCUUAAAAAGCCUCUUUAAAACUAAGGUGAUGUUUUCAAAAAUAAAGAUCACAUAGUGGUUGCC